rnacentral:ncRNA from 2 species
CUUCGUCAGGGUGAUGGGGUUCACCCACAAUAAACCGCGUUUCUUCGCUGAUGACCCCUAUCCAUCA